CAAAAGUUUUAUUCUAGCUUAGAAUUUGGGUUUAAUUAGAUUUUACAUGUAAGUUCGAGCAUUUAGGUGAUGGUUUAAAUAGUCAUUUUGGUUAAAUUAUUUGCAGUGGGGAAAUUUAAAUAUCAACGUGAGUUGGAUUUAGGCAUAAUUAAAUUAAUGUUGACAAAGUUUGUGCCAGCAGUUGCGGUUACACAGGCGACAUUAUUCAAAUUUUUCGGUUAUAGUUAGUUUGUUUAGUUUUCUUAUAGGUGUAAUUUUUUAAGUGAAAUUUUAAAUUAUUCUAAGGUUUAUUUUAAUAGGCGAGGCUAAGAAAUUCCAUUUUAAACUAGGAUUAGAUACCCUAUUAUUAGGAAUGUUAAUUUUAAUGCUGGGUCAGUAGUAGUUUUGUUCUUGAAAAUUAAAGAUUUUGGCGGUACUUUAGUCCAUUCAGAGGAACCUGUCCUAUAAUUGAUGGUCCACGAUUUUAUAGACUUUUUUUAAUAGUUUACAUAUCGUCGUAGUUUGAAUAUACUAGAAGGUUAAUAAUGUUCAAAAUUCCUUUCAGGAGGGAAAUCAGAUCAAGGUGUAGCUUAUAAAAAAGAAGAGAUGGGUUACAAUAAAACUAUUUAGGGAUUUUCAUGUUUGGAUGUGAGAUAAAUUUGGAUUUGACGGUAAUUUAAAUUAAAUUAUUUAGGUGAUUUAGGCUCUAGAGUAUGCACAUAUCGCCCGUCGCUUUCACUCUAAGGUGAAAUAAGUCGUAACAUAGUAGGCCUACCGGAAGGUGGGCCUGGAUAGAC
rnacentral:ncRNA from 1 species